UUGUCAUGAUCAUGAUCAAAUUAUUGUUGUAGAGAGAAACAGGAUCUCUUAGAAAUGCUUCGAACUUGGGAAAAUAUUGUGAAACGCGCAAUCUUUGAAAGGAGUGUCUGCGGGGUCAAUAAGUCCGGCAGCUUUUCGAAUGAGUUUGUUUUGUGAGAUGAAUGUGGGGAUAGAGUUCCGGCCAACAUAUAUAUCAAUGUUUAGCUGAAAAUAAACUACAUGGCGAAGAAAAUUCACUACUUCCUUCACUACCAUAUUUUCUUCUUCAUUUAUUGAUAUUAGAAUCGGAAUAUUCAUUUACGAGUUGCGGUGAAAAGUCAAAAAUAUAAAAAUCGU